UACGUAGGUGGCAAGCGUUGUCCGGAUUUACUGGGCGUAAAGAGCGCGCAGGCGGCCUAAGUCAGUCGAAUGGUGAAAGCCCCCGGCUCAACUGGGGAGGGUCAUUCGAUACUGCUCGGCUCGAAGACAGGAGAGGGAAGUGGAAUUCCCGGUGUAGUGGUGAAAUGCGCAGAUAUCGGGAGGAACACCAAUGGCGAAGGCAGCUCGGCUGGGACGGUACUGACGCUGAGACGCGAAAGCGUGGGGAGCAAACAGG
rnacentral:rRNA from 1 species